GGCAGUUCUCCGGUGACACAAACCAGAAUCAGGCCCCCUCCUGUCUGAUUCCCGGUCCAUCACCGGAGAACCACA
rfam:Myotis brandtii contig233982, whole genome shotgun sequence.